rnacentral:lncRNA from 1 species
UCUCCCUAUACCUUGUGAUUGAUUCUAGGUAUAUACAGAUGCCAUCUCUGUCUGGCAACAUAUGGACCUGAUUACAUUCAGGUGCAUAUACUAUACUUAAACAAUCAUUUAUAGUGUGGUGUUUCAGCUAGGAAUGUUGAUUAAUUCAGCAUGCUUAUGAUUAAUUCAACCUGUUUUUUUUAUAUCAGGUUCUCAUUGAGCUGUCUAAGAACAAGUAGAUCAUCAUUUCACCAUCUUCGGCCGCCCCAGGGUGUCAUCUCUUUGGCCUCCUCCAGCACUUCUUCUUUGUUCCUGAGUAUAAAACGUGAUGCAUGCGCCCUGUUCUAAAGUAGAAAAUCACUAAUAGCUUGUACUGUCCAUCUAUUGUGUUAACUUGCUCUAUGAUGGUACUUGAUCAUUUGCAAAAUAUAUCUCAGUUUUCGCUGUUAUGAGAAUGUUAUAUGCAUGGUUUCCUGUUAAAUCUAAAGUACUGCGGCAAAUUUUCAUCGUUAUGAGAAUUUUAUAUUCACGGAUUCACUUGAUUAUGUUUCUAACUUUUCAUAAUUUAUUAUUUGCAGAUGCUGGCCUUCAUUCUUCAAAAGUUGGGUGUACAGGAGCUCUAGGAAGAAGAAUCCCGAAGAAAAACCACACCCAGCAAUGCGUUUUUAGCUCACUGGAGAUAGUUAUGUGUGAAGCUAGUUAUGUGUAUAUUUAGUUGUAUUUUAUAGCUAAAUACUAGAUUCGUACUAUGUACUUUGCUUGGCU